GACACUGUGCCAGAGUGGUUUAAUGGGUGUGACUCGAAUUCACAGAUAUCACAUGGCUUCGGCCGCGCAGGUUCGAGUCCUGUCAGUGUCG